rnacentral:sRNA from 1 species
AGUAACCUUAGCAGAACCGAUCAUCCGUAGCAGACUUCCAAGUAUAUUAAAAGGUUUUCGUCUGCUGCCAUUGCUCCAUAUAGUUCUAUAUAGUUUAAGCAAUGCACAUCUUGAAACUGGCAUUAAUCUGCUUCUGGUUUGGUUUUGCCGAAAGUUGUCAGACGUUCUGCUCACGAAACUUUCGGCCUGUUUGUGGUUUCGAUGGACAGUGUCAUACGGAAGCCGUGAAUGCCUGCCAAAUGAAAAAUAUAAAUUGCCAAAGAGCUGAUAAUAAAAAACCAGUUUUUAAAAUUGUGAGGAGAGGAGCGUGUCAAAGAUAUUUUACAUUCUGUAAAAUGUUACCCGAAGAUUGAACAUAACCCGUUUUUACGUCCGGUAGAAUGUCGAAUUGGGAGUGAUAUGAAAUCUUAUAUGAAAUUUUACUUUGAUACAAAAUAUAUGUUUGAAUAUAUUUCGAUCCAAA